rnacentral:rRNA from 1 species
GUGUACCCGCGGCAAGACGGAAAGACCCCGUGAACCUUUACUAUAGCUUGACACUGAACAUUGAGCCUUGAUGUGUAGGAUAGGUGGGAGGCUUUGAAGUGUGGACGCCAGUCUGCAUGGAGCCGACCUUGAAAUACCACCCUUUAAUGUUUGAUGUUCUAACGUGGACCCGUAAUCCGGGUUGCGGACAGUGUCUGGUGGGUAGUUUGACUGGGGCGGUCUCCUCCUAAAGAGUAACGGAGGAGCACGAAGGUUGGCUAAUCCUGGUCGGACAUCAGGAGGUUAGUGCAAUGGCAUAAGCCAGCUUGACUGCGAGCGUGACGGCGCGAGCAGGUGCGAAAGCAGGUCAUAGUGAUCCGGUGGUUCUGAAUGGAAGGGCCAUCGCUCAACGGAUAAAAGGUACUCCGGGGAUAACAGGCUGAUACCGCCCAAGAGUUCAUAUCGACGGCGGUGUUUGGCACCUCGAUGUCGGCUCAUCACAUCCUGGGGCUGAAGUAGGUCCCAAGGGUAUGGCUGUUCGCCAUUUAAAGUGGUACGCGAGCUGGGUUUAGAACGUCGUGAGACAGUUCGGUCCCUAUCUGCCGUGGGCGCUGGAGAACUGAGGGGGGCUGCUCCUAGUACGAGAGGACCGGAGUGGACGCAUCACUGGUGUUCGGGUUGUCAUGCCAAUGGCACUGCCCGGUAGCUAAAUGCGGAAGAGAUAAGUGCUGAAAGCAUCUAAGCACGAAACUUGCCCCGA